rnacentral:sRNA from 1 species
CUAACCCUCUCCCCGCAAGCGGGGCGAGGGGACGAGUUCGCUUGGGAUCCGUUGAGGCCGAAGCGCCGCACAACGGUGUCCCCUCUCCCCGCAGGCGGGGAGAGGGUUAG